UACGGGGGGAGCAAGCGUUGUUCGGAUUUACUGGGCGUAAAGAGCGUGUAGGCGGCCCGGUAAGUCCGCUGUGAAAGUCGGGGGCUCAACCCUCGAAUGCCGGUGGAUACUGUCGGGCUAGAGUGCGGAAGAGGCGAGUGGAAUUCCUGGUGUAGCGGUGAAAUGCGCAGAUAUCAGGAGGAACACCAAUUGCGAAGGCAGCUCGCUGGGACGUAACUGACGCUGAGACGCGAAAGCGUGGGGAGCAAACAGG
rnacentral:rRNA from 1 species